GAUUAGUGGCGAACGGGUGAGUAACACGUGAGUAACCUGCCCUUAACUCUGGGAUAAGCCUGGGAAACUGGGUCUAAUACCGGAUAUGACCUUCCAUCGCAUGGUGGUUGGUGGAAAGCUUUUUGUGGUUUUGGAUGGACUCGCGGCCUAUCAGCUUGUUGGUGAGGUAAUGGCUUACCAAGGCGACGACGGGUAGCCGGCCUGAGAGGGUGACCGGCCACACUGGGACUGAGACACGGCCCAGACUCCUACGGGAGGCAGCAGUGGGGAAUAUUGCACAAUGGGCGCAAGCCUGAUGCAGCGACGCCGCGUGAGGGAUGACGGCCUUCGGGUUGUAAACCUCUUUCAGUAGGGAAGAAGCGAAAGUGACGGUACCUGCAGAAGAAGCGCCGGCUAACUACGUGCCAGCAGCCGCGGUAAUACGUAGGGCGCAAGCGUUAUCCGGAAUUAUUGGGCGUAAAGAGCUCGUAGGCGGUUUGUCGCGUCUGCCGUGAAAGUCCGGGGCUCAACUCCGGAUCUGCGGUGGGUACGGGCAGACUAGAGUGAUGUAGGGGAGACUGGAAUUCCUGGUGUAGCGGUGAAAUGCGCAGAUAUCAGGAGGAACACCGAUGGCGAAGGCAGGUCUCUGGGCAUUAACUGACGCUGAGGAGCGAAAGCAUGGGGAGCGAACAGGAUUAGAUACCCUGGUAGUCCAUGCCGUAAACGUUGGGCACUAGGUGUGGGGGACAUUCCACGUUUUCCGCGCCGUAGCUAACGCAUUAAGUGCCCCGCCUGGGGAGUACGGCCGCAAGGCUAAAACUCAAAGGAAUUGACGGGGGCCCGCACAAGCGGCGGAGCAUGCGGAUUAAUUCGAUGCAACGCGAAGAACCUUACCAAGGCUUGACAUGGACUGGAAAUACCUGGAAACAGGUGCCCCGCUUGCGGCCGGUUCACAGGUGGUGCAUGGUUGUCGUCAGCUCGUGUCGUGAGAUGUUGGGUUAAGUCCCGCAACGAGCGCAACCCUCGUUCUAUGUUGCCAGCACGUGAUGGUGGGGACUCAUAGGAGACUGCCGGGGUCAACUCGGAGGAAGGUGGGGACGACGUCAAAUCAUCAUGCCCCUUAUGUCUUGGGCUUCACGCAUGCUACAAUGGCCGGUACAAAGGGUUGCGAUACUGUGAGGUGGAGCUAAUCCCAAAAAGCCGGUCUCAGUUCGGAUUGGGGUCUGCAACUCGACCCCAUGAAGUCGGAGUCGCUAGUAAUCGCAGAUCAGCAACGCUGCGGUGAAUACGUUCCCGGGCCUUGUACACACCGCCCGUCAAGUCACGAAAGUUGGUAACACCCGAAGC
rnacentral:rRNA from 1 species